AACGCGAAGAACCUUACCAGGGCUUGACAUGGGGAGGACGCAGUCAGAGAUGGCUGUUCCCGCAAGGGCCUCCUGCACAGGUGCUGCAUGGCUGUCGUCAGCUCGUGUCGUGAGAUGUUGGGUUAAGUCCCGCAACGAGCGCAACCCUUGUCCUGUGUUGCCACUCCCGCAAGGGAAGCACUCUCAGGAGACCGCCAGCGAUAAGCUGGAGGAAGGUGGGGAUGAUGUCAAGUCAUCAUGGCCUUUAUGUCCAGGGCUACACACGUGCUACAAUGGACGGUACAAAGCGCUGCAAACCCGCGAGGGGGAGCUAAUCGCAAAAAACCGUUCUCAGUUCGGAUCGCAGGCUGCAACUCGCCUGCGUGAAGCUGGAAUCGCUAGUAAUGAUGUAUCAGAAUGAUACCGUGAAUACGUUCCCGGGCCUUGUACACACCGCAUAC
rnacentral:rRNA from 1 species